AGACGUAUUUGUCAAACUGCAAGGUAACACAUUGUAAAGGGUUGCAACAAAACCAUCAUUGGUUGUUAUUAACUAGCAUGCAAGCUUACACACAUGUAUAUUUACAAACACAUGCACAUGUAUGCAUACACACAGAAACUCAUACAGAAUGCUUGUUUCUCAACCAUAUGGUUUUAGAUUCAGUUCCACAGCACCGCACCUUCACCAAGUGUCUCUUACAAUAGCCCAGGUUGACCAAAGCCUUGCGAGCGGAUUUGAUGGAUGGAAACUGAAUGAAGCCACAUGAAAAGCACUCAGUCCACUCUGCUGGGUGUUGGUGUUAGCAAAGGCAUCUAGCUAUAAAAACCAUGCCAAAGCAGACACAGAAGUCAGGUGUGUGUGUGUGUGUGUGUGUGUGUGUGUGUGUGCACACGCGUGUGUGUGUGUGUGUAUGUGUGCGUGUGUGUGUGUGUGUGUAUGGGUUUUCGUUCCCCACUACCACUUAACAGCCAGUGCUAUUUGCUUACAUCCCCAUAACUUAGCAGUUUGGCAAAAGAGGUAGAAUAAGUAGAAGGCUUAGAAUAAAAAGAUAAGUACUGGAGUUGAUUUGUUCAACUAAACCCUUCAAGGCAAUGCCACAGUCUAAUGACUAAAACAAGUAAAAGAUAUAUUGUCCAAUAUGUAUCACUUUUGAUAAGACAAUAUAGAGCAAUUUGAGGAAUAUUUAACUAAAAUUCCUUGCAAAUUAGGCAACUGCAUAGAGGUUCCUUUAUUACUUUGUAUAUUUACAUCUUCAAAACAUCACUAUUCUAGCUGUCUCACACUUCACUGCAUUAUAUUUCUACUUGGUUUUAAUCAGUUAAAACUUCAAGAUUGUCUCCCCUAGAAUUCUUUAUCAGAAUUAGUCAUUUAGAUAAUGAUUAGUUCUCAUCACUAAAAAUGUAAUUUUAAUUAACACAAAUUUCUUGGCUUGUUGCAUCACAUAUACUCAUGCCCACUUUACUAAAACAUUUAUAACUUUCAUUCCAAAGCUAUUUGUUUAAGACGUAAAUAUAUAUGUGUGUGUAUGUGUAUGAAUGAGUAUAUAUGUAUAUACAUAUAUGUAUGUAUGUAUGUAUGUAUGUAGGUAUGUAUAUAUGUAUGUAAGUGUGUACAUAUAUGUAUGUAUGUAUGUAUGUAUGUAUGUAUGUAUGUAUGUAUGUAUGUAUGUAUGUAUGCGUGUACAUAUAUGUAUGUAUGUUUGUUUGUAUGUAUGCAUGAAUGUACGUAUUCAUGUAUGUAUAUAUUAUCCUGUUGUUGUAGAAUGAAAUUCAGGGGGUAUAUCCCAAGUUUACUGUAAAAUGCCAAAGGUAAUUGAAAAACUGGUUUCGUAAUCAAUAUUCCUUAUCAGUUCGUUAACGCACUUAAUUAAUCUUGCCAUUCAGUUGAUUAAAUAACAGCUUAUAAUUACAUAAGUGUGUUGUUUAGUUCACACAAAGUUAAACUAAUUUUUAUGUUGGCAAGACCAUGAUGAAUCCUCCAUGUGGUUGCUUGAAUUACUAGAAAUAGCAAACAAAUGACCCUUAAAUCACAAUCUGUAUUUCUAAAGAAAAGACAUAUUAGAUAAUGCAGUCCUUGAUACACCUAAAUAGAUAGGAAAAUUAUGGCUGGAAUGCUCGUUUUUUUUUGUUUUUUUUUAAUGGGUUUGUCAGAUUGAAGGACAAUUCCAAUUACUAUUUAUUUUCAGGGCCUUUUUGUCCCUCUGGUGGAAGGAAGUUAUCCUCCAACCAGAGACAUGAGGUGAAUUCUUACAAAAUCCCUUUUGAAGUAAACCCUUAUGCCUUUAAACAGAAGACGGCAGAGGACAACAACGAUGACAAUGAUGAGGAGGAGGAGUGUUAUGGUCCUGGUUGAAUUGUCUUUGAUCAUAGGUCUACUCAAUCAGAAUUGACUUUGUAAUAAACAACAGCAGCAACAACAACAACAACAACCAAGAGCCAACAAAGAAGCUCCAACUUGAUUCACCCACUUUAGUAUAAAAAACAGUCAAGUCAACCAUCUUAGAAAGGAGUGGAUUGCCAAAGGUUUGGCCAAUGGUAGUCAAACCAGGCAAUGAACUAGGUCUACUACCCAAGACCAGAAACAGCUCUUCUUGCAGGCUUCUUCUUAGUUUCCUUCUUACAAAUUUCGCUCAUAUAACUUUGUUCAACCAAGUACCAGGGUUAAAAAAAAACAUUAUCUGAAGUGACAUACGGUGGAUCUGAACCUAAAACUUCAAGCUUCUUAGCCACAUAACCAUGCCGGAUCCUUGUUCUACUUCAUGAAGCUUCAUCUUGGUCAAAAUUUAUCAAACAGCAGUGACAAUAACAGCAACAUCGAUUUUUAUAUUGGUAGUGAAAGUACAUGAAGAAAUGUGGACUAAUAUUUAGUUUGUUGCAUUUAUGAUUACAAGAUUGGUGUUUUGAUUCCUGAACUGUGAGGUGUGGCGUGUUCUUGCGCAAAACACUUCAUUUCAUGUUGCUCCAGUCCAUGCAGCUGGCAA
rnacentral:lncRNA from 1 species